AUUGAACGCUGGCGGCAGGCUUAACACAUGCAAGUCGAGCGGGGUGAUGGUGCUUGCACUAUCACUCAGCGGCGGACGGGUGAGUAAUGCUUAGGAAUCUGCCUAUUAGUGGGGGACAACAUCUCGAAAGGGAUGCUAAUACCGCAUACGUCCUACGGGAGAAAGCAGGGGAUCACUUGUGACCUUGCGCUAAUAGAUGAGCCUAAGUCGGAUUAGCUAGUUGGUGGGGUAAAGGCCUACCAAGGCGACGAUCUGUAGUGGGUCUGAGAGGAUGAUCCGCCACACUGGGACCGAGACACGGCCCAGACUCCUACGGGAGGCAGCAGUGGGGAAUAUUGGACAAUGGGGGGAACCCUGAUCCAGCCAUGCCGCGUGUGUGAAGAAGGCCUUAUGGUUGUAAAGCACUUUAAGCGAGGAGGAGGCUCUUUUGGUUCAUACCCAAGAUGAGUGGACGUUACUCGCCGAAUAAGCACCGGCUAACUCUGUGCCAGCAGCCGCCGUAA
rnacentral:rRNA from 1 species